rnacentral:tRNA from 1 species
CUUUGCGUAUCUAUAGGAAGUGCUGGGUUCUUACCCCAGUGAAGUGUGCUCACCGCAAAGA